rnacentral:rRNA from 1 species
CCUACGGGCGGCAGCAGUGGGGAAUAUUGCACAAUGGGCGCAAGCCUGAUGCAGACAUGCCGCGUGUGUGAAGAAGGCCUUCGGGUUGUAAAGCACUUUCAGCGGGGAGGAAGGCGUUAAGGUUAAUAACCUUGUCGAUUGACGUUACCCGCAGAAGAAGCACCGGCUAACUCCGUGCCAGCAGCCGCGGUAAUACGGAGGGUGCAAGCGUUAAUCGGAAUUACUGGGCGUAAAGCGCACGCAGGCGGUCUGUCAAGUCGGAUGCGAAAUCCCCGGGCUCAACCUGGGAACUGCAUUCGAAACUGGCAGGCUAGAGUCUUGUAGAGGGGGGUAGAAUUCCAGGUGUAGCGGUGAAAUGCGUAGAGAUCUGGAGGAAUACCGGUGGCGAAGGCGGCCCCCUGGACAAAGACUGACGCUCAGGUGCGAAAGCGUGGGGAGCAAACAGGAUUAGAUACCCGAGUAGUC